GCGGAGGGAUCAUUACUGAGUUUACGCUCUAUAACCCUUUGUGAACAUACCUAUAACUGUUGCUUCGGCGGGUAGGGUCUCCGUGACCCUCCCGGCCUCCCGCCCCCGGGCGGGUCGGCGCCCGCCGGAGGAUAACCAAACUCUGAUUUAACGACGUUUCUUCUGAGUGGUACAAGCAAAUAAUCAAAACUUUUAACAACGGAUCUCUUGGUUCUGGCAUCGAUGAAGAACGCAGCGAAAUGCGAUAAGUAAUGUGAAUUGCAGAAUUCAGUGAAUCAUCGAAUCUUUGAACGCACAUUGCGCCCGCCAGCAUUCUGGCGGGCAUGCCUGUUCGAGCGUCAUUUCAACCCUCAAGCUCUGCUUGGUGUUGGGGCCCUACAGCUGAUGUAGGCCCUCAAAGGUAGUGGCGGACCCUCCCGGAGCCUCCUUUGCGUAGUAACUUUACGUCUCGCACUGGGAUCCGGAGGGACUCUUGCCGUAAAACCCCCCAAUUUUCCAAAGGUUGACCUCGGAUCAGGUAGGAAUACCCGCUGAACUUAAGCAUAC
rnacentral:rRNA from 1 species